GGCUCAGGAUGAACGCUAGCUACAGGCUUAACACAUGCAAGUCGAGGGGAAACGAUAGAGAAAGCUUGCUUUUUCUAGGCGUCGACCGGCGCACGGGUGAGUAACGCGUAUCCAACCUGCCCAUCACUUGGGGAUAACCUUGCGAAAGUAAGACUAAUACCCAAUGACGUCUCUAGAAGACAUCUGAAAGAGAUUAAAGAUUUAUCGGUGAUGGAUGGGGAUGCGUCUGAUUAGCUUGUUGGCGGGUAACGGCCACCAAGGCGACGAUCAGUAGGGGUUCUGAGAGGAAGGUCCCCCACAUUGGAACUGAGACACGGUCCAAACUCCUACGGGAGGCAGCAGUGAGGAAUAUUGGUCAAUGGACGAGAGUCUGAACCAGCCAAGUAGCGUGCAGGAUGACGGCCCUAUGGGUUGUAAACUGCUUUUAUAAGGGAAUAAAGUGAGUCUCGUGAGACUUUUUGCAUGUACCUUAUGAAUAAGGACCGGCUAAUUCCGUG
rnacentral:rRNA from 1 species